GGUGCUCGAGGGCUCUUCCAUUUUCUUCCGUCGCUUUUCCCUUUCUCUUCCUCUCUGUUUCUGUGUUUUUCUCCCUGCGUCAAUCUUUCGUGUUUCCCUGCUUCUCUCCGCCUCCUCCUCCGCCCAAGAACCGCUGAUCAAUCUGGUUUCUUUGGCUUCUUCCGAUGGCGGCUAAGAUUUCGUCAUCGAGGAGAUGAAUGAUGGAGGUCAAUCGGAUCUUGAAUAUGAUUUCUACCGCGAGACUUUGCCCUUCAUCAUACGUGUUUUUCUGAUUUCCAUCUCUCUUCUCUCUCUCGCACUCCCUUUUUUCCUUCUCCAGCUUUUGCAUAUUUCCGGUCUCCGUUAUCAACGUCCGUUUGCUAAAUUUUCUCAAUCCUGUGAAUCUAUUCGCAUGUUUGUCUUUUUUUUCAUCUGCGAUUUCCUGGUUGUGGGCGGAAUUUUGGCCGAUUUCCACCCUUUUGGGUGCAUCCUGUCUUCAGAUCACUGCGGAAUCGAUCUUUUUUAGCUAAGGUGUGUUUUAUAAUGAUUGUAUUUCAGUUUUAUUUUGAAUUUUUGCUAAUUUGGAUGAAACCCUAACGAUUCGUUUUGUUGUGAGUUGUGGUGCUUUGUUAGGGCUUUCCCAGCUAAAAGAGUAUAAAUUUCCCAGAAACUUGAUGAACUCAGAGAAAGCAGUUGCAGCAGCCGUGACUUCUAUUUUUUUUCUCUCUUGAAAAUGGUUUACAGUUUUGUAGAUUUCGUUUUGCUGUCAGUUGUGGUGCUUUGUUGGGGCUUUCCCGGCUAAAAGAAUACUUUGCGUUUUGGUUGCUCAAUUAAUAAAUCUGAGAUUUGCUAGCACCUGUGAUGCUGCUGUUAUAUUUUGGGUUUCAUUUUUGCACAGUAAAGGACAUAUGCAACACCUUCCACGAUUUUAGAACACUUGAAGUCCGUCCCGAGAUUUUAUUCUCGAGGUUGUGAAACGACGAAACUGCCCUGGCGGUUACUAAGGGAAUUAAAGAGUGGAAUUGUUUUGAGGGACCACACACACACGGGGGACACCCUGUCCCUUUCCCCGUGCCCUCUAUCUCUCUCCCCUUCUCAGUUCUUCCUCUCUCCCUCUCGACUCGUACGGACGAGGCACCAAAACCUUCCAACCUUCAUGGAUUGACGUCAAAAAGGGAAUUCUAAGCUUAUAGUGAGCUUAGUGAGGUCCUAAGGAAGCUCGAAGUGCUUAGUUUGAAGGUUUUGGACAUCGAGAUCAUUGAGUUCAAAGUUGGUCGGUUUUCUUGGAAUUUUUCCAAUGAGAUUUCGUUAUUUUUAGAGCCUUAAAGUAGUGUAACGGGAUUCUACAUGCUUAGGGCUUCAUUUUGAUAUAAAAUACGUGAAAAAUGGUUGAGAAAUGACGGAGAACAAGGAGAUUGAAAAAUCUCUAGUUUUCCGGCCACCGGAAAAACCAGUCCGACGAGCCCAAGGUAGGAGACGCGCGUGGGGGGGGGGGCCGCGUGACAAGCCCAAAUUUUUUUCUACAAAUAUGCUGACGUUCGUGACGUCGAAUAGGUCACUGUG